GUGGGGAAUCUUGCGCAAUGGGCGAAAGCCUGACGCAGCCAUGCCGCGUGAAUGAUGAAGGUCUUAGGAUUGUAAAAUUCUUUCACCGGGGACGAUAAUGACGGUACCCGGAGAAGAAGCCCCGGCUAACUUCGUGCCAGCAGCCGCGGUAAUACGAAGGGGGCUAGCGUUGCUCGGAAUUACUGGGCGUAAAGGGCGCGUAGGCGGACAGUUUAGUCAGUGGUGAAAGCCCAGGGCUCAACCUUGGAAUUGCCUUUGAUACUGGCUGUCUUGAGUACGGGAGAGGUGAGUGGAACUCCGAGUGUAGAGGUGAAAUUCGUAGAUAUUCGGAAGAACACCAGUGGCGAAGGCGACUCACUGGCCCGUUACUGACGCUGAGGCGCGAAAGCGUGGGGAGCAAACAGGAUUAGAAACCCUGGUAGUCC
rnacentral:rRNA from 1 species